UACGAAGGGGGCUAGCGUUGCUCGGAAUCACUGGGCGUAAAGCGCACGUAGGCGGACUCUUAAGUCGGUGGUGAAAUCCUGGAGCUCAACUCCAGAACUGCCUUCGAUACUGAGAGUCUCGAGUCCGGGAGAGGUGAGUGGAACUGCGAGUGUAGAGGUGAAUGCGCAGAUAUCAGGAGGAACACCAAUUGCGAAGGCAGCUCGCUGGGACGUAACUGACGCUGAGACGCGAAAGCGUGGGGAGCAAACAGG
rnacentral:rRNA from 1 species